rnacentral:rRNA from 1 species
UACGGGGGGAGCAAGCGUUGUUCGGAUUUACUGGGCGUAAAGGGCGCGUAGGCGGCCACCGCAAGUCAAUUGUGAAAUCUCCGGGCUUAACUCGGAAAGGUCAACUGAUACUGCGGGGCUAGAGUGCAGAAGGGGCAACUGGAAUUCUCGGUGUAGCGGUGGAAUGCGCAGAUAUCGGGAGGAACACCAAUGGCGAAGGCAGCUCGCUGGGACGGUACUGACGCUGAGGCGCGAAAGCGUGGGGAGCAAACAGG